rnacentral:rRNA from 1 species
UACGAAGGGGGCUAGCGUUGUUCGGAAUUACUGGGCGUAAAGCGUAUGUAGGCGGAUCGUUAAGUCGGGGGUGAAAUCCCGAGGCUCAACCUCGGAACUGCCUUCGAUACUGGCGAUCUUCGAGUCCGGGAGAGGUGAGUGGAACUCCGAGUGUAGAGGUGAAAUUCGUAGAUAUUCGGAAGAACACCAGUGGCGAAGGCGGCUCACUGGCCCGGUACUGACGCUGAAAUACGAAAGCGUGGGGAGCAAACGGG